rnacentral:rRNA from 1 species
CCUACGGGAGGCAGCAGUGAGGAAUAUUGGUCAAUGGGCGAGAGCCUGAACCAGCCAAGUCGCGUGAGGGAGUACUGCCCUAUGGGUUGUAAACCUCUUUUGUCGGGGAGCAAAAGCCGGACGUGUCCGGCUGUGAGAGUACCCGAAGAAAAAGCAUCGGCUAACUCCGUGCCAGCAGCCGCGGUAAUACGGAGGAUGCGAGCGUUAUCCGGAUUUAUUGGGGUUAAAGGGUGCGCAGGCGGCUUUUUAAGUCAGCGGUCAAAUCGUGGGGCUCAACCCCAUCCAGCCGUUGAAACUGGGGAUCUAGAGUGUGCGAGAGGUAUGCGGAAUGCGUGGUGUAGCGGUGAAAUGCAUAGAUAUCACGCAGAACCCCGAUUGCGAAGGCAGCAUACCGGUGCACAACUGACGCUCAGGCACGAAAGCGUGGGUAUCGAACAGGAUUAGAUACCCUGGUAGUC